GGGAGUGUAGAUCAGUUAGUAGAUCGCUCGACCGAUAAUCGAGAGGACGUAGGGGCAGAGCCUACCACUCCCA
rnacentral:tRNA from 1 species